AACGUAGGUGGCGAGCGUUAUCCGGAUUUACUGGGCGUAAAGGGCAGGUAGGUGGUUUGGUAAGUCUAUUGUGAAAGCUCCCGGCUUAACUGGGAGAGGCCAAUGGAUACUACCAAGCUUGAGUAUAGGAGAGGUUACUGGAAUUCCCGGUGUAGCGGUGAAAUGCGCAGAUAUCGGGAGGAACACCAAUGGCGAAAGCAGGUAACUGGACUAUUACUGACACUCAACUGCGAAAGCUAGGGGAGCAAACAGG
rnacentral:rRNA from 1 species